rnacentral:rRNA from 1 species
CCUACGGGAGGCAGCAGUGGGGAAUACUGGACAAUGGGCGAAAGCCUGAUCCAGCCAUGCCGCGUGUGUGAAGAAGGCCUUCGGGUUGUAAAGCACUUUCAGUGGGGAAGAAAGCCUUGGGGCUAAUACCCUCGAGGAAGGACAUCACCCACAGAAGAAGCACCGGCUAACUCCGUGCCAGCAGCCGCGGUAAUACGGAGGGUGCGAGCGUUAAUCGGAAUUACUGGGCGUAAAGCGCGCGUAGGCGGUCUGAUAAGCCGGUUGUGAAAGCCCCGGGCUCAACCUGGGAACGGCAUCCGGAACUGUCAGGCUAGAGUGCAGGAGAGGAAGGUAGAAUUCCCGGUGUAGCGGUGAAAUGCGUAGAGAUCGGGAGGAAUACCAGUGGCGAAGGCGGCCUUCUGGACUGACACUGACGCUGAGGUGCGAAAGCGUGGGUAGCAAACAGGAUUAGAUACCCGAGUAGUC